CCCUUAGAUGUUCUGGGCUGCACGCGUGCUACAAUCGGGAGUACAACAAGAUUGCAAAUCCUAGUGGAUGAGUGGUUCUUCGAAAUUUUCUGAAGACUGGGAUAGUUGAUUGAAAUUAUUCAACUCGAACGAGGAAUUCCUUGUAAUUGUAAUUCAUUAUAUUGUAAUGAAUACGUCCCUGCCCUUUGUACACACCGCCCGUCGCUCCUACCGAUUGAACGAUCCGGUGAAUUAUUUGGAGUAGCUCUGGAAGUUGCAGAACUUCCUAUGUCACGAAAUUUUGUAAACCUUAUCGUUUAGAGGAAGGAAAAGUCGUAACA
rnacentral:rRNA from 1 species